CUGGCUCAGAUUGAACGCUGGCGGCAGGCCUAACACAUGCAAGUCGAGCGGCAGCGGGAAAGUAGCUUGCUACUUUUGCCGGCGAGCGGCGGACGGGUGAGUAAUGCCUGGGAAAUUGCCCAGUCGAGGGGGAUAACAGUUGGAAACGACUGCUAAUACCGCAUACGCCCUACGGGGGAAAGCAGGGGACCUUCGGGCCUUGCGCGAUUGGAUAUGCCCAGGUGGGAUUAGCUUGUUGGUGAGGUAAUGGCUCACCAAGGCGACGAUCCCUAGCUGGUCUGAGAGGAUGAUCAGCCACACUGGAACUGAGACACGGUCCAGACUCCUACGGGAGGCAGCAGUGGGGAAUAUUGCACAAUGGGGGAAACCCUGAUGCAGCCACGCCGCGUGUGUGAAGAAGGCCUUCGGGUUGUAAAGCACUUUCAGCGAGGAGGAAGGGUUGAUACCUAAUACGUAUCAGCUGUGACGUUACUCGCAGAAGAAGCACCGGCUAACUCCGUGCCAGCAGCCGCGGUAAUACGGAGGGUGCAAGCGUUGAUCGGAAUUACUGGGCGUAAAGCGCACGCAGGCGGUUGGAUAAGUUAGAUGUGAAAGCCCCGGGCUACACCUGNGAAUUGCAUUUAAAACUGUCCAGCUAGAGUCUUGUAGAGGGGGGUAGAAUUCCAGGUGUAGCGGUGAAAUGCGUAG
rnacentral:rRNA from 1 species